UACGUAGGGUCCAAGCGUUAUCCGGAAUCACUGGGCGUAAAGCGUGCGUAGGUGGGAAUUUAAGUGAGAUGUGAAACCGUGUGGCUCAACCAUACGUUGUGUCUUAUACUGGAUACCUAGAGGACGGCAGAGGCAAGUGGAAUUACGAGUGUAGCAGUGAAAUGCGUAGAUAUUCGUAGGAACACCAAUGGCGAAGGCAGCUUGCUGGGCCACUCCUGACACUGAGGUACGAAAGCGUGGGGAGCGAACAGG
rnacentral:rRNA from 1 species